rnacentral:rRNA from 1 species
UACGGGAGGCAGCAGCAGGGAAUAUUGCACAAUGGGCGAAAGCCUGAUGCAGCGACACCGCGUGCGGGAUGACGGCCUUAGGGUUGUAAACCGCUUUCAGGAGGGAAGAAAAUGACGGUACCUCCAGAAGAAGCUCCGGCCAACUACGUGCCAGCAGCCGCGGUAAU